CCCAGGUCCUUCUGACUCACAGGCCUUUGCUCUAUCCACUAAGCCAUGCUGCUUCUCUAUCCACAGGUUAUUAGAAGAAUAAGAUACUUGGGCUGGAAGGGAGACUCAAGUCAUCAUUCAAUCUACUUGCUUUGCCCCAGUGAGCAAAGUUGACACUGAAAAUAACCAAUCAUCAUCUUCGAUAUGGACACCUUUCUCCAAUUAGAUUGAGCCUGAUGUCCAACCUCAGUGGCUGGAAAAACAAGAAAUGAAAGCAUACUGGCAAAGGGCUGAGUCCAAGAAUCUUUUAAAAACCACAUUUCUGCAUUUCUUGUGACCUAGGAAUAGGGAAAAAUUAUCACAUUUGCAUAAGGAAAUCUAAGUGGUGUGAUGAGUGGAAAUCAAAAUUCAAUGCAUCCCUAAGUGUUAAGAGGCUUAGAGGAUCUCUUUGGGUGCUUUUAAAUUAAAGUGAAAACACUUGAACGGUUUAGGAAGUAUUAAUUUGGCACUCAAGCAGAAUUGUUAGCUUUUAUUCUUGCAACAGCUAACG
rnacentral:lncRNA from 1 species